UCGUUGUAGCAAUACGAUGGAAAGUCUAGUGGCGAACGGGUGCUUAACACGUGGGCAACCUGCCAAGAAGUGGGGGACAGCUCGCCGAAAGGCGGAUUAAUACCGCAUGUGAUUAGAGAGGACAUCCUUUCGAAAUUAAAGUCGGGGCAACCUGACGCUUCUUGUGGGGCCCGCGGCCUAUCAGCUAGUUGGUGGGGUAACGGCUCACCAAGGCUUUGACGGGUAGCUGGUCUGAGAGGACGACCAGCCACACUGGGACUGAGACACGGCCCAGACACCUACGGGUGGCAGCAGUCGAGAAUUUUUGACAAAGGGGGAAACCCUGAUCGAGCGACGCCGCGUGGAGGAUGAAGGUCUUCGGAUUGUAAACUCCUGUCAUUGGGGAACAAUGCACAGAUAUUAACUGUAUUUGUGUUGAUAGUACCCGAAGAGGAAGAGACGGCUAGCUCUGUGCCAGCAGCCGCGGUAAUACAGAGGUCUCAAGCGUUGUUCGGAUUCAUUGGGCGUAAAGGGUGCGUAGGCGGCGCGGUAAGUCGGGUGUGAAAUCUCGGAGCUUAACUCCGAAACUGCAUUCGAUACUGCCGUGCCUGAGGACUGGAGAGGAGACUGGAAUUCUCGGUGUAGCA
rnacentral:rRNA from 1 species